rnacentral:rRNA from 1 species
AACCCUACCGCUGUGUGUUACAAGUGUCACACGGAACUGCCGGUCAUAAACCGGAGGAAGUGGGAUGACGUCAAGUCAGCAUGGCCUUUAUAUCCUGGGCUACACACACGCUACAAUGGGAAGGGACAAUAGGUUGCGAAGCCGCGAGGCGGAGCCAAUCCAGCAAAACUUCCCUCAGUUCAGAUUGCAGGCUGCAACUCGCCUGCAUGAAGUUGGAGUUGCUAGUAAACGCAGGUCAGCCAUACUGCGUUGAAUACGUUCCCGGGGCUU